UAGCUCAGUGGUAGAGCGUUUGCCUAGCAAGCACAAGGCCCUGGGUUCGGUCCUCAG
rnacentral:tRNA from 1 species